UACGUAGGGGGCUAGCGUUGUCCGGAAUCAUUGGGCGUAAAGCGCGCGUAGGCGGCCAGAUAAGUCCGGUGUGAAAGUCACAGGCUCAACCUGUGAAUGCCGCUGGAAACUGUCUGGCUAGAGUCCGGAAGGGGCGAGUGGAAUUCCUGGUGUAGCGGUGAAAUGCGCAGAUAUCAGGAGGAACACCAAUGGCGAAGGCAGCUCGCUGGAACGGUACUGACGCUGAGGCGCGAAAGCGUGGGGAGCGAACAGGAUUAGAUACCCUGGUAGUCCACGCCGUAAACGAUGGGCACUAGGUGUGGGAGGUGUCGACUCCUCCUGUGCCGAAGCUAACGCAUUAAGUGCCCCGCCUGGGGAGUACGGCCGCAAGGCUAAA
rnacentral:rRNA from 1 species